UACGUAGGGGGCAAGCGUUGUCCGGAUUUAUUGGGCGUAAAGAGCGUGUAGGCGGCCAGAUAGGUCCGUUGUGAAAACUCGAGGCUCAACCUCGAGACGCCGAUGGAAACCAUUUGGCUAGAGUCCGGAAGAGGAGAGUGGAAUUCCUGGUGUAGCGGUGAAAUGCGCAGAUAUCAGGAAGAACACCCGUGGCGAAAGCGGCUCUCUGGAACGGUACUGACGCUGAGACGCGAAAGCGUGGGGAGCGAACAGG
rnacentral:rRNA from 1 species